AAGCGGCAAGAGCUCAAAUUUGAAAUCGGGGCACAGUAGUUCUCCGAGUUGUAGUUUGAAGGCGUGGUGGAGGAGGCGUUGGUGUGUGGCGAUGUUCCUUGGAAGAGGGCGUCAGAGAAGGUGAUAAUCCUGUAGCCGCACCACCACGCCUCCACAUUCCACCGCACCGACGAGUCGAGUUGUUUGGGAAUGCAGCUCUAAUUUGGUGGUAAACUCCAUCUAAAGCUAAAUACUAGCGAGAGACCGAUAGCGAACAAGUACAGUGAUGGAAAGAUGAAAAGAACUUUGAAAAGAGAGUGAAAGAGUGCGUGAAAUUGUUGAAAGGGAAGGAUAUUAGGUGAGGCGGGGCGGGAACUAAUAGGGCUUCACUUGUGGGGGUUCAUAAUGGUUCGUGCCAGGGGGGUGUGGGUGGGGGCGAGGGUUAUACACGUAGAUAAUUGUACCUAGUACUAUGAUCUAUCCAAACCCCUCCCCCC
rnacentral:rRNA from 1 species